rnacentral:rRNA from 1 species
CGGCUUUUAACCUUAUUAGAGGAACUUGUUAAAUAAUCGAUGAUCCCCGUUAAUUUUCACUUAGCCUAAAAAUCUGUAUACCGCCGUCAAAGAGUAUAUUAAAAAAUAUACUCAAAAAUUUAAAAAUCAAAAACAAAUCAGGUCAAGGUACAAUCUAUGACUAAGAUAUAAUGAGUUACAUUAAUCAAAAAUUAUGGAAAUAAAAUAAAAAUUAAAAUUAAAACAGAAUCUAAAUGUAAUUAAUUUAUUUAAAAAAAAAAAAUAAAAUUGAAAAAAAGGUGC